GAUGAAGAACGUAGCGAAAUGGGAUAAGUAAUGCGAAUUGCAGAAUUCCAGUGAGUCAUCGAAUCUUUGAACGCACAUUGCGCCCUUUGGUAUUCCGAAGGGCAUGCCUGUUCGAGCGUCAUUAUCACCCCUCAAGCCCUCGGCUUGGUGUUGGACGGUUUGGUGGAGGCCCCCUCGGGGGCUCCUGCCCCUCCCAAAGACAAUGACGGCGGCCUCGUUGGACCCCCGGUACACUGAGUUCUUCACGGGACACGUAUCGGACACAUGGGUUUACGGGACACGGUCUGCCUCCCCUCAGGGAGAAUCUUUCUAAGGUUGACCUCGGAUCAGGUAGGGAUACCCGCUGAACUUAAGCAUAUCAAUAAGCGGAGGA
rnacentral:misc_RNA from 1 species